UGGGGAAUUUUGGACAAUGGGCGAAAGCCUGAUCCAGCCAUGCCGCGUGAGUGAAGAAGGCCUUCGGGUUGUAAAGCUCUUUUAGUCGGAAAGAAAGAGUUGCAAUGAAUAAUUGUGAUUUAUGACGGUACCGACAGAAAAAGCACCGGCUAACUACGUGCCAGCAGCCGCGGUAAUACGUAGGGUGCGAGCGUUAAUCGGAAUUACUGGGCGUAAAGGGUGCGCAGGCGGUCUUGCAAGUCAGAUGUGAAAGCCCCGGGCUUAACCUGGGAAUUGCGUUUGAAACUACAAGGCUAGAGUGCAGCAGAGGGGAGUGGAAUUCCAUGUGUAGCAGUGAAAUGCGUAGAGAUGUGGAAGAACACCGAUGGCGAAGGCAGCUCCCUGGGUUGACACUGGCGCUCAUGCACGAAAGCGUGGGGAGCAAACA
rnacentral:rRNA from 1 species